GUAGGGUGCGAGCGUUAAUCGGAAUUACUGGGGCGUAAAGCGUGCGCAGGCGGCUUUGCAAGACAGAUGUGAAAUCCCCGGGGCUCAACCUGGGGAACUGCAUUUGUGACUGCAAGGCUAGAGUACGGCAGAGGGGGAUGGAAUUCCGCGUGUAGCAGUGAAAUGCGUAGAUAUGCGGAGGAACACCGAUGGCGAAGGCAAUCCCCUGGGCCUGUACUGACGCUCAUGCACGAAAGCGUGGGGAGCAAACAGGAUUAGAUACCCUGGUAGUCCACGCCCUAAACGAUGUCAACUGGUUGUUGGACGGCUUGCUGUUCAGUAACGAAGCUAACGCGUGAAGUUGACCGCCUGGGGAGUACGGCCGCAAAGGUUG
rnacentral:rRNA from 1 species